GCCCGUUAAUGGGUGAUGGCGUGCCUUUUGUAGAAUGAACCGGCGAGUUACGAUUGCAUGCGAGGUUAAGUUGAAGAGACGGAGCCGCAGCGAAAGCGAGUCUGAAUAGGGCGUUUGAGUAUGUAGUCGUAGACCCGAAACCAUGUGAUCUACCCAUGUCCAGGUUGAAGGUGCGGUAAAACGCACUGGAGGACCGAACCCACGUACGUUGAAAAGUGCGGGGAUGAGGUGUGGGUAGCGGAGAAAUUCCAAACGAACUUGGAGAUAGCUGGUUCUCUCCGAAAUAGCUUUAGGGCUAGCCUCGGAAUUGAGAAUGAUGGAGGUAGAGCACUGUUUGGACUAGGGGCCCAUCUCGGGUUACCGAAUUCAGAUAAACUCCGAAUGCCAUUCAUUCAUAUCCGGGAGUCAGACUGUGAGUGAUAAGAUCCAUAGUCGAAAGGGAAACAGCCCAGACCACCAGCUAAGGUCCCAAAAUAUAUGUUAAGUGGAAAAGGAUGUGGGGUUGCACAGACAACUAGGAUGUUGGCUUAGAAGCAGCCACCAUUUAAAGAGUGCGUAAUAGCUCACUAGUCGAGUGACCCUGCGCCGAAAAUGUACCGGGGCUAAACAUAUUACCGAAGCUGUGGAGUACACCUUUAGGUGUAUUGGU
rnacentral:rRNA from 1 species